GCCCUGCUCCCAGCGCUGUUUUACGGUUUUUCCAGGUUGAGCUGUGGUGUCCUCACUGAGGUCUGGGAGCAGGAGCGCUGAUGUCGGUCAUGCCUUGAGUUUUCAAGGCCGUGCCCUGGGCUAUCCCACGUGGCACUGCAGCGAGAUAAAGCAUCACCUUUCUAUUACAAGAGAUGAGUAUCGCACUCCAAGCCCACUCAGCAUCUCCCUCAGAUCUGUCCAUGGGUGGGGUGGGAGUGCUGUGACCUUGGAAAAACAAGCCACCCACAGGAAUGACUGUGUCAUCAUUGUCGUCAUCCAAUCUGGACCACACACACACACGUGUGGCGAGUAGGAGUGGAGUGCCAGAUCAGAGCUGGCCUGACUGGAGGAGGAUGCGGUGCUGGCCUGUGGGGACCAGAUGGCCCUCCAGCUCCUGCAGAGGACCCGAGAGUGUGAGAUUCCCACGACGGCACUUUAAAAUCCUCUGAAUGUGUUUAAAUGCUUUCAUAAAGUUGAUAAUGCUUGCAGUAUCUUAAUAUUGAUAUGUGGAAGGAAAACAUUGAUUAUAAAAGUGAU